rnacentral:lncRNA from 1 species
CACCCCCCCACCAACAUCCUCCUUGUCUUUAGCUGAAGAUAAUAUUUAAGUGGUCGCUUUUGCCAUUUACUUAAUCCGGUUUGAUUAUCUAAAAGUCAUAGGACCACCCAUUAACCAGACCCUACCAGCACUGAUAACAUUUUAACAGUCCUUUUUACAUAUUCUUUCCUUUGUCUUGUAAAGAGAUAACUCACAUACCUAUGCCUUAAAUUUAGCCUGACUCUCCACCCAUGUUUGCAGCAGCAGCAGUGGCAGCAGCAGCUCCUCCUGCCCGUGGGUCCUGUCCCUGUGCAGCGGCUCUGACUGCCCGUGGGUCCUGUCCCCAUGCUAUUCCACACUAUUCUCUAAAUAAAAGAGCACUACUGCCAGACCUUGAGAGUCCAAGAAAUCUUUCUUUCGACUCAUCCACUCACCAACCCCACAUCAGAAAAUAAUUAAAAUUUUACCGAGAAACAUUAUGCAAGUUCUAAAUAAAUUGGUAGAAAAACUAUGUUCCUGGAUUGCACAAUUUGGUGUUAUAAAAAUAUCAAUUCUCCUCAAAUUACUCUAUUCGCUCAGUGCCUUCCCAAUCAAAAUCUCACUAGGAGAUUUUGUAGAAUUCGACACUGAUUUAAAAUGUAUUUAGAAAAUGAAAAUUAUAAAGAAUAAGCAAGAUACUUUUGAAAAGACCUGAGGUACCAGGUAUUCAAACUCAUAACGCUAGAGUUAUUGAGACAAUGAGGAACUGGCACAAGGAUGGGUAAAUACGCCAGUGGAACAGAAUAGAAAACUGAGGAAAAGACCCAUGAUUGUAUAGAACUGUGGUGUAUGACAGAGGGGGCAUGUCAGGAUGGUGAAGCAAAAAUGGUCUAUACAGUAAAUGGAGCUGGAUAAAAGGAUUAUCCAUAUAGGAGAUGAUGAGAUUGGAUGUUUGGUUCAUCCAUAUAAAAAUCAAUCCUAGUCAAGAACUUAAUGUUAUAAGAAAAUGUUUAACCACUUACAGCCUUAAAAACUAAAACCUCUGGAUCUCUCUCAAUAAGCAGAAAUUUUGCAAAAAUCAGAUGAGAAAUUCAAGAUUAACUUGUCAGAUUAAAUCUACCUCACAAAAUUACUCUAUCCAAAAAUCUAUUCACAGUAUUAACAAAAUAUUUGCAGAAAGUAAAAACAAACAUUCAUUAAUAGUAACCAAACAAGGAGAAUGUCAAACUAUAAUGCCUUAAGAUACAAAAAGUUAUACCCAAAGGAAGGGAUAUUGCACAGUAGUUAGUUCAGUUUGGCCAACCUCUUCACCCCAACAUCACAGUACUGUGAUUUUACAAAUCCUUCAAGCUCUUCCGAAACACAACUGAGUUGAUCAUUUAUGUACUCCUUCUCCCACCGUCCCUACCCAAGGAAUGACUUGAAAGACACAGGGAAAAUGAGCAACAGGUCAUUUACCUGAUGGAAGCAGAAACUUCAGAGCUGUACCAGGAGUUGGGGAAUAGAUCUGAAGCCCAAGGAUAUCCUCCCAUGCAAAUGCAAACACCCAAUGCAGACUAAGUAUUCUACAAGAUCUUGCAAAUAGCCUCAAAUGAGCAAAAUGGGUUAGUCGCAUUGAGAACAUUGUCUUCUCAUUCAAAGGUGGGAGAGAAUGGAAGAAGGUGAACAAUGAAGGAAGAAUCUUGAAUGGCUCUAAAAAUUGUCAGGCUCAGUAGUCUUUGGAGUGUGUCAGCAUCACAGACAUAUAUACACAUAUUAUUUUAAAAUCAUUUAAAAAGGACAAAUACCCAUACUUCUUUCAUCCAGCACUGCUAAUAAGGCCAUGAGCAUUUAUAUACAUUUCCAUUCCUUAUUGUGUAAAAUAUACUGCAUUAUCUCUAUAAGAGCACACUAAAUCUGCAAUAAAGUGGCAUUAGUGAAAGAUAUAAGAUCAAUAUAAAUCUUUUCUAGUUACAACUUUGGAAUCUGAUAAAACGUGCUGCUUGGCCAAUCUGACUUGGUGAAUACCAAAGUUUUGGAACUUAAAAUGUGCUGAAUUAUGCCUUCUAGCUGUGUGAUUCAGUGCCAAUCCCCAAGCCACUAUUAUGUGGCUUGUCAUGAUCUUUGAAAUUUUUUUAAAACUGUGCUUCAUUAUAAUUAUAUCCCUUUAUGCUAGACAAAAUUUUAUGUGCUGAGUAAUAUGGCUUGUGCUGCACCAGUGCCAUAUAACUGGGACUGUGCUGAUGAAUGGGAAGGUCUCCUACACUCCUCUUCCCAUCCUUCAAAAAUAAUUUUCCGUAUUCACUUGUGGUGUGUGCAGUUUAUAACAUGAAGAACAACAGAUCAAUAAGAAAAUUUCCCUUAAUACACUUAGGUACAUUAUGAGAAAGAAAAGGGAAUAUGCAAACCUUGAAU